rnacentral:rRNA from 1 species
GUGAGGAAUAUUGGUCAAUGGGCGGGAGCCUGAACCAGCCAAGUCGCGUGAAGGAAGAAGGAUCUAUGGUUCGUAAACUUCUUUUGCAGGGGAAUAAAGUGCAGGACGUGUCCUGUUUUGUAUGUACCCUGAGAAUAAGGAUCGGCUAACUCCGUGCCAGCAGCCGCGGUAAUACGGAGGAUCCGAGCGUUAUCCGGAUUUAUUGGGUUUAGAGGGUGCGUAGGUGGUUUGAUAAGUCAGCGGUGAAAGUUUGCAGCUUAACUGUAAAAAUGCCGUUGAAACUGUCGGACUUGAGUGUAAAUGAGGUAGGCGGAAUGCGUGGUGUAGCGGUGAAAUGCAUAGAUAUCACGCAGAACUCCGAUUGCGAAGGCAGCUUACUAAGCUACAACUGACACUGAAGCACGAAAGCGUGGGGAUCAAACAGGAUUAGAUACCCCAGUAGUCC